rnacentral:rRNA from 1 species
AUUGAACGCUGGCGGCAGGCCUAACACAUGCAAGUCGAACGAGUGGCGGACGGGUGAGUAAUGUCUGGGAACCUGCCUGAUGGAGGGGGAUAACUACUGGACACGGUAGCUAAUACCGCAUACCAUCGGUUGAGCCCAGAUGUGAUUAGCUAGUAGGUGGGGUAACGGCUCAACUAGGCGACGAUCCCUAGCUGGUCUGAGAGGAUGACCAGCCACACUGGAACUGAGACACGGUCCAGACUCCUACGGGAGGAAGCAGUGGUGAAUAUUGCACAAUGGGCGCAAGCCUGAUGCAGCCAUGCCGAGUGUAUGAAGAAGGCCUUCGGGUUGUAAAGUAAUUUCAGCGGGGAGGCGUUACCCGCAGAAGAAGCACCGGCUAACUCCGUGCCAGCAGCCGCGGUAAUAC